rfam:Ictidomys tridecemlineatus contig072979, whole genome shotgun sequence.
AGGAAUGUAGCUCCGUGGUAGGGCACUUGUCUAGUAUACACCCUGCCUUGGGUUCAAUCCCCAUUACUCCUA